rnacentral:vault_RNA from 2 species
GGGCUGGCAUUGUAGCUCAGCGGUUCCUUCACGGGCUCUCUGAUUUAUCAGACUAAUCCUCUCGGGGGUUCAAAACCUGCGGGCGCUAUCCAGCCUUUUU